UGCCAGGCUGGAACGGAGAUGUUAGGUUAGGACAACUUAGAUGGAGAACUUGGAGAGGCGCUGCACUUUACCAUUCAACAUCAGAACACCACCACUGCCACUCUAAGAAAUGGAAGGCCAUGCCUCACUGAACCUUCCUUUUUGUUCAAGAAGACUAGAAAGGAGGUAUCAUCGCUGCGAUUCUACCUGUAAAAGAACACCUUGAGAAGACGCCAUUCAUCACUCUGUCUGGG
rnacentral:lncRNA from 1 species